AGCGAACGCUGGCGGCAGGCUUAACACAUGCAAGUCGAGCGGGCAUCCUUGUGGUGUCAGCGGCAGACGGGUGAGUAACGCGUGGGAACGUGCCCUUCGGUUCGGAAUAACUCAGGGAAACUUGAGCUAAUGCCGGAUACGUGCGAGAGCAGAAAGGUUUAUCUGCCGAAGGAUCGGCCCGCGUCUGAUUAGCUAGUUGGUGGGGUUAUGGCUCACCAAGGCGACGAUCAGUAGCUGGUCUGAGAGGAUGAUCAGCCACACUGGGACUGAGACACGGCCCAGACUCCUACGGGAGGCAGCAGUGGGGAAUAUUGGACAAUGGGGGCAACCCUGAUCCAGCCAUGCCGCGUGAGUGAUGACGGCCUUAGGGUUGUAAAGCUCUUUUCUUCGGGACGAUAAUGACGGUACCGGAGGAAUAAGCCCCGGCUAACUUCGUG
rnacentral:rRNA from 1 species